UAAAUAAAUAAAUUUUCUCUUUGUCUAUCUUACAUUGUUCCUAUUCUAUUUAUUCUGUUCUCGGUUAGUAAUUAGUAUAAUAUUAACUUCCUUUUUUUCGUGUCAGGAGCAACAGGAGUUGCUUCUGGAGUGAGAGAAUUGGCCGUCUGCAAGGAUGUUGCCAAGGGGACGCCCGGAUGUUUUGAUGUUUUUACCAUCCUUGUGGGAGGCUUCUCUCAUGUCCCCGUAUGGAGCUGGAGCUGAUAGUGGGAGCUCAUCCGCGCUCUCCCCAGGUGGAAUUCGAACCUGCCAACCUUCAGGUUGACCCCUACGUACAGUGAUCUUUAUGAUGACCAAUAUUUUGUGGAUCAGAGUAAACAGCCCCCCCCCCCCAUAGUAGUUAUUGCUGCAGUAAAAUAACACAGCUAGACCUCUUGCUCUAUAGAAAUCGCAAACUCAUUUUAUUUCUGAAACUGAAAGAAAUCAGGUGGAAAAUGAGAAUCAGCCCAAAUGGCUUAAAGGUUAUAAAGCUAAAGCUGCUCUUAAUAAUUGAAAUGACUUAUUAAAAUAUUUGAUAAGUACUUACACACACCACUUUCCUUGUUAACUUAAUUUCUAGACAUACAGAAUCUGUCCAACUUGUGAAUCUUUUAGAUCUCCUUUUCCUUCCUGAUGAGAAUGAAUAUAAAGCUUUGAAAGCAUUUUUAGUGUCUGUCUAUAAAUGAAAUGGAAACUGACACCCAUAUUCAUUAGCCAGCCAUAUAUUUUUGCCAGCACUUCCCAACUGCCACCUAUUCUAGACACUUUCAUCUUUACCUUUUAAUGCAAAGAUAUAUAGCAAAUGACAUUUCUGCCAUAAAGAGCUGAGAAUCUUACUAUUUUUCUUCCAAUUUUCUCAACAGAAAAAGGGUGCAGUAGGUGAAGAAAAAGGGAAUCAAAAUGACUUGGGAGGCUAGAGCAGCUUCUUACUUUUUGAAAAGAUAGAUUACUUGAGGCUUUUUUUCUUAGGGAGAAAAGAAGACAAGUGGGCAAGCAUGAUAUAGCUAUAUACGAAGUGGGAGGAAAGAUAUUUAUUCUGACUCACAGUAUAGCUGGAGAUUACUGGAUUGAAAAUGUAUAGAGAGCGAUUCAGGACAGAACAAGUAUGUAAUUUAAUUAAGGAGUUCACUAGCAAAAUAUAUUAUAGCUAUCAAUUAGAAUGGCUUAGAUCAGUCUUACACAAAUUUACAAGGAGAUAAGACUAUCAGUAGUCAUUACUCCAAGAAACCUAUGUAAUGAAAAGCUGCAUAGGACCCCCAGAACUGACUCGUUAUACAAAAAGCAGUAUACAGCUGUUAUUUAAUCAGAAGUCUGUACAAGCAUGACAUUUGCUUUAGGUCUUUGCAUUAAAGGUUAAGAUGAAAGUUUCUAGAAUGGGUGGCAUAUCUCCUGUAGCACCUUACCUGCCAUGGUUGCUGUGGAAUUGAAGUUGAAGGUGACCCCCCCCCCCCCCCCAAAUAGAAGAUAGUUUAUAAUCAGGGACCCUGCAGUUUUGCCAAGGACACCAAGCUGGGUAAUAAGAGUUAAAUCUUGGACAACCACAAGGAAUGCUUCCCAUGUUAAAUUGGUGUACUUUUGACCAAGGGUUAUAUUCUGUAUUUCACAUUUCAUUUAUUUAUAGCAGAAGGUAAUAGGUAUUUUACUGGAGUUUACUGCAAUUUACUGAAAACCCUGGCACAAUGGGUGUUUGAUCUUUCAGCCUGAGGCAAGAAUUAACAACUCUCCUAAUCCUUUCCUACACCAGUCAAUGACUCACAAACAUAAGGACUCCCAUUUGUCUAGAGUUGAGACAUAUCUAGGCUAAAGGUUAGCAAAGGAAAAAAGCCAAUUUUAAACAAUAUGCUUUACAAUAGUGCUGGGGAAAAUGGAAGGAAAAAGGAAGAGAGGCUGACCAAGGGGCAAGAUGGAUGGACGGUAUCCUUGAAUUGACUGGCAUGAACUUGAAGGAACUGGGGGCAGCGACGGCCAACGGAGCUCUGGCGUGGACUGGUCCAUGAAGUCACAAAGAGUCGGAAACAACUGUGAUUGAGCAGCAGCAGCUUUACAAUCUUGCCCUUAUUUCUCAAAAUUUGAAAUGUAUCCUUCCUAUCUUUCUGUCUCUCUGUAUCACCGUUGACACAUUUUUCUGUUCCUUUAGACUAGAUUCCACUGCCCAUUUUGCUCCUUUUCCCUUGCCAUUCUUUCCCCCCUCCUCUCUCUGUUUCUAACUACCUAACCCAUUGUAAAGAUGUCAUGAUCAUUGUGUUUUAUUCAUGAUUGCUAUGUUUAGGUUGACUGUUUAAGGUUAUAUAUUUCAGCUAUUCUUAUACAGAAGCUGAGAGCCUCUAAGGCAUGGCCAGGAAAAGGGGCGUGGCUUCACCUUGCUGGUGGAAGCCUUAGAAUUCAAAAUUUAGCAGUUGGAAUUGGGCAGUUGGAGUUUGUCGGUUGAGCAGAGCAGUUGGUUCUGUUCAGUGAGAAAGGAGUGUGAUCGAAAAAAAGAGAUUGUGGGAGGAAGUUGAGCAGCUAGAGAGUUUUAGCGGAGAAGGGCUAAAAUUAAAGUUGCUGAGCCUUUAGUAGGAAUAACUAAAGAGCUGAGGCUAUAUCCCUAAGUCAAAGAGGACUAGGGUUAACCAGUUAAACUCCCCAAUCCAAGUUUGAUCAGGUACAGGUCAACUAAGUUCAAGAAGGACAGUAUUCCUAACUGAAAGAAACAAGUAAUAUAAAGCUGAUACCAUACUAAGCUCAGUGAAACUAUUGAGAAGUCUUGCAACACUUACUGUACAGAAGUAACAUCGUUCAACUUAAGAUAUAACAUUCUUGCAACCAUCAAGCUUUGUGCUAUAAAUAAACAAGUUACUGUUUCUUCAAAUGUUGCUUAUUAUUUGAGCAAAGCAUCUUUCAAAGGUGGUGGCAGCGACAACAUUGAAAAGUAGGAUACAUAGAGGUAGAAGUUGAAUCCUUCGCAAUUUGGUGGCAGAGGUGGGAUCCAAAAAGAUUCCAUCCCUGUCAUCACAUCAAGUCUUCACAUAAAUUGGUGGCAGCGGUGGGAUACGUGUAACAAAGACUGAUUCAGUGCCUAGGAUCUGUGUAACAAAGACUGAUUCAGUGCCUGGGAUACGUGUAACAAGAACUGAUUCAGUGCCUGAAAUUCGUUUGGCAAAGGUUAGUUUGGUGCCGGAGAUCAGCUUUAGGUAAAAGGGCUGAGGUAAAACUUGUCUGGAAAUGGCCACCAGGAAACAGAAGAAGUUAGCAGGAGAGGCUAGUGAAUACCAAGGA
rnacentral:lncRNA from 11 species